CGGACGGGUGAGUAAUGUCUGGGAAACUGCCUGAUGGAGGGGGAUAACUACUGGAAACGGUAGCUAAUACCGCAUAACGUCGCAAGACCAAAGAGGGGGACCUUCGGGCCUCUUGCCAUCGGAUGUGCCCAGAUGGGAUUAGCUAGUAGGUGGGGUAACGGCUCACCUAGGCGACGAUCCCUAGCUGGUCUGAGAGGAUGGCCGGCCACACUGGAACUGAGACACGGUCCAG
rnacentral:rRNA from 1 species